rnacentral:rRNA from 1 species
UGGGGAAUAUUGCACAAUGGGGGAAACCCUGAUGCAGCGACGCCGCGUGGAGGAAGAAGGUCUUCGGAUUGUAAACUCCUGUUGUUGAGGAAGAUAAUGACGGUACUCAACAAGGAAGUGACGGCUAACUACGUGCCAGCAGCCGCGGUAAAACGUAGGUCACAAGCGUUGUCCGGAAUUACUGGGUGUAAAGGGAGCGCAGGCGGGAAGACAAGUUGGAAGUGAAAUCUAUGGGCUCAACCCAUAAACUGCUUUCAAAACUGUUUUUCUUGAGUAGUGCAGAGGUAGGCGGAAUUCCCGGUGUAGCGGUGGAAUGCGUAAAUAUCGGGAGGAACACCAGUGGCGAAGGCGGCCUACUGGGCACCAACUGACGCUGAGGCUCGAAAGUGUGGGUAGCAAACAGGAUUAGAUACCCUGGUAGUCCACACCGUAAACGAUGAUUACUAGGUGUUGGAGGAUUGACCCCUUCAGUGCCGCAGUUAACACAAUAAGUAAUCCACCUGGGGAGUACGACCGCAAGGUUGAAACUCAAAGGAAUUGACGGGGGCCCGCACAAGCAGUGGAGUAUGUGGUUUAAUUCGACGCAACGCGAAGAACCUUACCAAGUCUUGACAUCCUGCGACGCACAUAGAAAUAUGUGUUUCCUUCGGGACGCAGAGACAGGUGGUGCAUGGUUGUCGUCAGCUCGUGUCGUGAGAUGUUGGGUUAAGUCCCGCAACGAGCGCAACCCUUACUGUCAGUUACUACGCAAGAGGACUCUGGCAGGACUGCCGUUGACAAAACGGAGGAAGGUGGGGAUGACGUCAAAUCAUCAUGCCCUUUAUGACUUGGGCUACACACGUACUACAAUGGCGUUAAACAAAGAGAAGCAAGACCGCGAGGUGGAGCAAAACUCAGAAACAACGUCCCAGUUCGGACUGCAGGCUGCAACUCGCCUGCACGAAGUCGGAAUUGCUAGUAAUCGUGGAUCAGCAUGCCACGGUGAAUACGUUCCC